UGGCUUAAUCAAUAAUUACUCUCUCCUUUUCAAUUUAAAUGACACAUUUUCCAGUGUUCCAAAAAGAAUUAUACAUUUCUAUAUUUAGAAAUAAAUUUAACUUUAAACUUUCUAUUCUACACAAGCUUUUAUAGCUACACAAAUAUCAUGACCCACUAAACUUUUGCACCCUAAGCUUUUAGCACCACAUAUUUCACAAAAGUUAUCUUUUUAUCCCUUAAACUUUGUGUCAAGUCAAACUACAACAACAACCACCCAAUAAAAUCCCACUAGUUGGAUCUGGGGAGCGUAGAGUAUACGCAGACCUUAUCCCUACCCUGGAGGGGUAGAGAGGCUGUUUCCGGGAGACCCUCGACUCGACAAUAAUAUUAGAAAAAAACAUGUCAAGUCAAACUAUAUCAUCAAAGUCGAAAUGGAGGGAGUAGCUGGUUAAUCAGAAACUCUAAAUUCAUAUUAGCUUGCUUGGUUACCUGCCACUAAAUUUUGAUGGCCAAAACCCACCACCAUAGGGCAGCAUACCCUGGGUUUAUGGCUUGAAUAAAUAAAUAUAACAAUAAUAAUGAUCCAGUAAAAUCUCACUAGUAGGUCUGGAAGGCUAGUGUGUAUGCAGACCUUAUUGAGAGGUCUGGCUCAAGAAGAGGAAAAGACGAAUAAUAAUAAUAAUAAUUAAAAAAAAGAUUCUGCAAGCAAAUAUGGUGGCCUAUUGCUAAAGGGGCGGGUCCAUUAACCCGAGUUUGGAAUCAUGUGCCACUAGCCUCGACAUUUCUGGGUGAUUAAAAAAAAUUCCAGAAUACACUUUUUAUUUUUCAAAAGUUCUCACUAUUGUUUUUUUUAUUUUUUCAGAAAAAUAACUAUAGCCCCUGUAGCAGACCAGCAAUCCUCUCACCAGUCAAGGAUAGCAAUUGACAACAAUUGGUAGAACAAAUACGUGUAAUAUUGAGACAGAACUGAGUAAUAAUGGAAAAAAUAAAAAGAAUGGAAAAUUUGCCACUUUCCUUAAUAAUGCUCUUCGCUUGAAUCAAUAGCUUGUUGUUGUGUAACAAUCAAAACAUUUACCGUCGAAACUGUGGGAAUUGGUCGCCGGUGGUGGAGAACGAUCGCCGGAGCGAGAGACAUUGCCGGAGGCGGCAGUGGAGGGGGAAGUUGUUCGCCGGCGGGACCUCCGUCCACGUCAGCAGAUAGACGGUGGAGGUGUGGUGGCUUU
rnacentral:lncRNA from 1 species